rnacentral:lncRNA from 1 species
AUUUAUUGGUUGAUGGAUUUGAAGCUUCCAAUUUAGCAGAACUUGGAAACAUAUGCAUCAACACCUGCUUGUUGAACCGUACCGUGGCUUGUGGCUUGCAUCCUCUGAGAGCCUUGAACCUGUGGACUGAGAAAGCCUGGCUGCCACGAUGAAACAGAAAGCUUAAGAAUAAAUUUCCCCUUGCACCUCCAGUGGGAACCUUAAGAGCAGACAGUAACUACACUAGGUAUGAAAAAUAGAUGCAUCUCUCCCCAUUCUUAAAUUUUAAGUGUCUAUAACAAUGCCCG